CUUAGUGGUGAUAGCACAUUGAAUGCACUAGUUUUCGAUGGGUCACUGAAGGUAAGCAUCGUUGCGCGUGGUUGAUGUCCGGACGGGUGACCAUUAGGGCAACCGCGUGAUGCUGCUGGCU
rnacentral:rRNA from 1 species